rnacentral:rRNA from 1 species
CCUACGGGAGGCUGCAGUGGGGAAUAUUGCACAAUGGGCGCAAGCCUGAUGCAGCCAUGCCGCGUGUGUGAAGAAGGCCUUCGGGUUGUAAAGCACUUUCAGCGGGGAGGAAGGCGUUAAGGUUAAUAACCUUGGCGAUUGACGUUACCCGCAGAAGAAGCACCGGCUAACUCCGUGCCAGCAGCCGCGGUAAUACGGAGGGUGCAAGCGUUAAUCGGAAUUACUGGGCGUAAAGCGCACGCAGGCGGUCUGUCAAGUCGGAUGUGAAAUCCCCGGGCUCAACCUGGGAACUGCAUUCGAAACUGGCAGGCUAGAGUCUUGUAGAGGGGGGUAGAAUUCCAGGUGUAGCGGUGAAAUGCGUAGAGAUCUGGAGGAAUACCGGUGGUGAAGGCGGCCCCCUGGACAAAGACUGACGCUCAGGUGCGAAAGCGUGGGGAGCAAACAGGAUUAGAUACCCUUGUAGUC